rnacentral:rRNA from 1 species
UACAGAGGUCUCAAGCGUUGUUCGGAUUCAUUGGGCGUAAAGGGUGCGUAGGCGGCGCGGUAAGUCGGGUGUGAAAUCUCGGAGCUUAACUCCGAAACUGCAUUCGAUACUGCCGUGCUUGAGGACUGGAGAGGAGACUGGAAUUUACGGUGUAGCGGUGAAAUGCGUAGAUAUCGUAAGGAAGACCAGUGGCGAAGGCGGGUCUCUGGACAGUUCCUGACGCUGAGGACAGAAGGCCAGGGGAGCAAACGGG